AGUGAACGCUGGCGGUAGGCCUAACACAUGCAAGUCGAACGGCAGCACAGUAAGAGCUUGCUCUUACGGGUGGCGAGUGGCGGACGGGUGAGGAAUACAUCGGAAUCUACUUUUUCGUGGGGGAUAACGUAGGGAAACUUACGCUAGUACCGCAUACGACCUACGGGUGAAAGCAGGGGAUCUUCGGACCUUGCGCGAUUGAAUGAGCCGAUGUCGGAUUAGCUAGUUGGCGGGGUAAAGGCCCACCAAGGCGACGAUCCGUAGCUGGUCUGAGAGGAUGAUCAGCCACACUGGAACUGAGACACGGUACAGACUCCUACGGGAGGCAGCAGUGGGGAAUAUUGGACAAUGGGCGCAAGCCUGAUCCAGCCAUACCGCGUGGGUGAAGAAGGCCUUCGGGUUGUAAAGCCCUUUUGUUGGGAAAGAAAAGCAGCAGGUUAAUACCCCGCUGUUCUGACGGUACCCAAAGAAUAAGCACCGGCUAACUUCGUG
rnacentral:rRNA from 1 species